GGGGAAUUUUGGACAAUGGGCGCAAGCCUGAUCCAGCAAUGCCGCGUGCAGGAUGAAGGCCUUCGGGUUGUAAACUGCUUUUGUACGGAACGAAAAGCCUCUCUAUAGUACAGGGGGUUGAUGACGGUAUCGUACGAAGAAGCAGCGUCAACCUUCCUGCCAGCCGCCGCGGUAAUACGGAGGGUGCGAGCGGUAAUCGGAAUUACUGGGCGUAAAGCGUGCGCAGGCGGUUUGGUAAGACAGGUGUGAAAUCCCCGGGCUUAACCUGGGAACUGCGCUUGUGACUGCCAGGCUAGAGUACGGCAGAGGGGGGUGGAAUUCCACGUGUAGCAGUGAAAUGCGUAGAGAUGUGGAGGAACACCGAUGGCGAAGGCAGCCCCCUGGGCCUGUACUGACGCUCAUGCACGAAAGCGUGGGGAGCAAACA
rnacentral:rRNA from 1 species